rnacentral:snRNA from 1 species
CUAAUUACCUAGCAAGGGAAAUACCAUGAUCACAAAGGUGAUUUUCCCAAGGUGAGGCUUAUCCAUUGUACUUUGGAUGUGUUGACCCCUGUGAUUUUAACAAAUGUGGAAAAUUCAACUACAUAAUUUGUAGUAGUGGAGGAUUGUGUUCAAACUCUCCCCUG